rnacentral:rRNA from 1 species
AGAGUUUGAUCAUGGCUCAGAACGAACGCUGGCGGCGUGGAUAAGACAUGCAAGUCGAACGAGACUUUUCGUUGUAGCAAUACGAUGGAAAGUUUAGUGGCGAACGGGUGCUUAACACGUGGGCAACCUGCCAUGAAGUGGGGGAUAGCUCGCCGAAAGGCGAAUUAAUACCGCAUGUGAUUAGAAAGGACAUCCUUUCAAAAUUAAAGUCGGGGCAACCUGACGCUUCUUGUGGGGCCCGCGGCCUAUCAGCUAGUUGGUGAGGUAACGGCUCACCAAGGCUUUGACGGGUAGCUGGUCUGAGAGGACGACCAGCCACACUGGGACUGAGACACGGCCCAGACACCUACGGGUGGCAGCAGUCGAGAAUUUUUGACAAUGGGGGAAACCCUGAUCGAGCGACGCCGCGUGGAGGAUGAAGGUCUUCGGAUUGUAAACUCCUGUCAUUUGGGAACAAGGUGCACACGUUAACUGCGUGAGUAUUGAUAGUACCAGAAGAGGAAGAGACGGCUAACUCUGUGCCAGCAGCCGCGGUAAUACAGAGGUCUCAAGCGUUGUUCGGAUUCAUUGGGCGUAAAGGGUGCGUAGGCGGCGCGGUAAGUCGGGUGUGAAAUCUCGGAGCUUAACUCCGAAACUGCAUUCGAUACUGCCGUGCUUGAGGACUGGAGAGGAGACUGGAAUUUACGGUGUAGCGGUGAAAUGCGUAGAUAUCGUAAGGAAGACCAGUGGCGAAGGCGGGUCUCUGGACAGUUCCUGACGCUGAGGCACGAAGGUCAGGGGAGCAAACGGGAUUAGAUACCCUAGUAGUCC